rnacentral:rRNA from 1 species
GACGAACGCUGGCGGCGUGCCUAAUACAUGCAAGUAGGACGCACAGUUUAUACCGUAGCUUGCUACACCAUAGACUGUGAGUUGCGAACGGGUGAGUAACGCGUAGGUAACCUACCUAUUAGAGGGGGAUAACUAUUGGAAACGAUAGCUAAUACCGCAUAACAGUAUGUAACACAUGUUAGAUGCUUGAAAGAUGCAAUUGCAUCGCUAGUAGAUGGACCUGCGUUGUAUUAGCUAGUAGGUAGGGUAAAGGCCUACCUAGGCAACGAUACAUAGCCGACCUGAGAGGGUGAUCGGCCACACUGGGACUGAGACACGGUCCAGACUCCUACGGGAGGCAGCAGUAGGGAAUCUUCGGCAAUGGGGGGAACCCUGACCGAGCAACGCCGCGUGAGUGAAGAAGGUUUUCGGAUCGUAAAGCUCUGUUGUUAAGGAAGAACGAGUGUGAGAAUGGAAAGUUCAUGCUGUGACGGUACUUAACCAGAAAGGGACGGCUAACUACGUGCCAGCAGCCGCGGUAAUACGUAGGUCCCGAGCGUUGUCCGGAUUUAUUGGGCGUAAAGCGAGCGCAGGCGGUUAGAAAAGUCUGAAGUGAAAGGCAGUGGCUCAACCAUUGUAGGCUUUGGAAACUGUUUAACUUGAGUGCAGAAAGGGAGAGUGGAAUUCCAUGUGUAGCGGUGAAAUGCGUAGAUAUAUGGAGGAACACCGGUGGCGAAAGCGGCUCUCUGGUCUGUAACUGACGCUGAGGCUCGAAAGCGUGGGGAGCGAACAGG